rnacentral:lncRNA from 1 species
UACUUUCAGAUCGCAUGAACGCAUUCCUGGACACCAGCCACAGUUGCUAAAACUAAAUGGGAUCCUGCAGACCCAUUGACGGACUGUCAUAGCCAACUCAAUCACAGUCGAGAAGCAUUUGAAUACUUACAGCCUAUGGCGCUAGGAUCCUGGUAGCGAAGAAACUAAACUCUAAUUUGAAAUGUUGUACAAAUUAGAGGAGACAGCACUGAUUGCAGUGACAGAAGCGGUGCCAGCUAACUCCCCACCAUCAAAAGUAUCUUCUGCUGUAGCCUGGCACAAGUUUCAAGCAUCCACUGGGGGUCUUGGGAUGUGUCGCCCUGCAGAUAAGGGCAACUGCUGUGCAGCAUGAACAGUAUGGAGACAAUACUUAUCUUCAUGGAGUUUAUAUUAGAGUAAGACAAGAGGUAGGAGACUGCCUAUUUUAUUGUUCUCUUGAAAAGACUGGGUAUUUUACUUUUAUGAAAGGCUUUAUAGCCUGCAGGGGCAUUCUAAUAUGGAUUUUGGGGGUGAAGAGACAAAUAGGUGUGGAAAGUAAGUUCAGGGGUUCAGAGACCCAUAGGUUUUUUAAAAGAGAAGUCAGGGGAAGGUCUCUUAAGGUAGUAGUGGAGUCCAAAUUAUUCUAUGUCCCUUGUAGCUCCUACCCUUUGUAUGCAGUAGUUUUUUUUUUAAAUCGAAGACGGGGGAAGGUCUCUUAAGGUAAUAGUAGAGACCAAAUUAUUCUAUC